UGGGUUUGUUGGGUGCAUUUUACAAAAAUCCAGACUUUCUCUAUAAUUUUCAGGCCUUGGAGCUGUCCUCCUGAACUCUUGUCAGCGUAUGACAUUCUAAGUGACCUAGAAUUGAGAGAUGUUUUCUGCACAGCCCAGAACAGCUGUCUGGCAGCUGCACAGCGGAGGAAGCUUAUGUGGUCCUCUUGAAAGAUAUUUUCUGCGGUCUCGCAGAAGAGGAACUCCCAUGUGGGAGAGAAGUGGCAGACUUCUCCCUGAGGGGCAUAGCGGUGGGGACCACACAGCUGGAAGAAUCGUGCAGAACGCACAGCGCUUCACCUUCGACAGCACUUCCCAGGCUACAGGCUGCUUUAGAGGCAGACCUCAUAUACAGCCAAUUGGACCAGCAUUGUGUAUGUGAACCUGGACAGCAAUUCAGCUCAUACAUUGGACAGCAACCUAUGCGAUGGCCUCUUAGGAAACAUCUUCUGGUCCACUCAUCUCAUCUUGGAAAUCUGAAAUCAGACAUGCUGAGAAAAGGAGGUGGGCAGAAAUGGAGGCAGAAGUUAAAAGUGAAGACAGAGAAAAGCUCGGUAUAGAAGAGGCCAUGAGGGCUAAAGCAAAUCAGAGUUACAAGGAAGUAGAAACACACAUCAGCAGAAACCAAGAUAGACAAGAGGUCUUCAGCGUGCCGGGGAAAGGAUAAGGCCCUGAGUGGUGGGAUUCGGGUGGAUUAGAGCAGACAUAUGAAGCCAUGGCAGUGGCUGAGCACCAUGGGGAAGAUCCCUGAAUCCUGCUUGUUCUGGAGUUCUCACUUCCUGAGACCUGCUCUGCCUGGAGCCACGCCUGUCGUAGGAUCCUGAGCACAUGUAUCCUCACAAUAAGACAGCUGUUAUUUGAAAUAUCUCACGUGGAUCUCUUUUUCUUGCAAAUAAAUUCCCAAAAAAAGUGCA
ensembl:lncRNA